GGAAGUAAAAGUCGUAACAAGGUUUCCGUAGGUGAACCUGCGGAAGGAUCAUUACUGAUUUAGCGAACCGAGCAUUAGCGAGGUUUUGCGAUCAAUUUAUAUUUAAAACCCACUCUUUAAUGUAUAAAAUUUGUAUUAUGAUAAAUUAAAAGAUCACUUUCAACAACGGAUCUCUUGGCUCUCGCAUCGAUGAAGAACGUAGCGAAGUGCGAUAAGUAAUGUGAAUUGCAGUAUUCCGUGAAUCAUCGAAUCUUUGAACGCAUAUUGCACUUUCUGGUAUUCCGGAAAGUAUGCCUGUUUGAGGGUCAGUUAAAUAAAAAUCGGUGUUGUUGCUGCCCUUCGUGGUGACGCGUCGGAAUUGAGUUGUCUUACCUUCGGUUAAGUGACUUAAAAUUUUGUAUGAUUUUCGAACGUAUUUAAAUUUAUUUGAACGUUUGAUAUCGAAUGCUUAUUAGGUUCGGUCAUCCUCAUGACUCGCGCCUAUAAUUUUUCAUUAAAUGACCUCAAAUCAGGUAAGAAUACCCGCUGAACUUAAGCAUAUCAAUAAGCGGAGGA
rnacentral:rRNA from 1 species